GGUACAGUCAAGGGAAGGGGGCAGAAGUAGGAGGGGGUGGCAGGCUAAAACUCGUUAGGAUUAACAAGCGUUUACUGGCGCACGGCGUGCAAUGGCAGCGUAACUUUUACGCCCAGCGCGAGGACCCCAUAUCCUUACCGCUCAAAAUACACGGAAAAAAAUAACUCAGGACAUUAAGUAGAAAAAGGAUUAAGCAAAAAAGUAUUAGGGUCUGAGAGAAAUAUAAUCAGCAAAUUAUAAUCCUUAUAGCAUUGAGAUAAAAAGCAUAUCUCUAAACUUCCAGCAACUGAAACAAGUGCUCUUGUUUCCUUUUGUUUAGUAUUAUUUAAAUCUCCUUUAAAACAAAAUUUCAAAACAUAUCUCUCAGUGCAUUUUAUACAUGUUUCCCUAGUUAUAUAUCAGCUGCAUUAGAUGGCGGCAGCUUAGCUGCGUUUGUCACUCAUUGCCGGAGCAACGAGCGUGCAGUUAAAUUGAUGAGCAGCAGGUACAAGCGACAGACGAGACGGCAGGCAAGGAAUAUGGCAGGAUAGCAGGAUGGAUGCCAGGAUGGCCGGAUAGGAUAGAUGGAUAGCCGGGCUGGAUGAAUGGCCAGGACGCGCUCCGCAAUUUCCUCGCCAUCCUCACGCCGCCAAAUAAUUUUCGGAGCCGGAAAACCAUCGGCCCGGCAUGUCAUGUUGAUAUUUUGAUUUUCUCGCACCGCCACUGAUGAAGGUGUGCUCUCGAUGUCCAAAAUGUUCGGCGGCACUGCGGAUAUUUUCAAUUUUAAUGAUAUCCCUGCAUGAGUCGUGGACUGUGCGGUACUCACCCACCACCUGUAGGUAGCCCACCUGGCUAAUCAUGGGAUUGGUGUUAACCUGGCACAUGUAGUAGCCGCGAUCAUCCUGAUGAGCCUGAUUCACGUGCAGCAGCCACGUAUUGUCCGUGUAGGUGAUGCUGUAGCGCGGAAUCCUCGAUAUCACAUGCCGGUGGAUUGUCAAAAUCAUUUGCCUGUCAAUGUGAAUCCAGGCGACCUGUAAAAUUGAAAAUUUCGAAAAUCGAUUGGCAUUGUUCGUUCAAUAACCAACUAAUGUCAAAGCCCCUCAAGGCUAUGUUGCCUUUUAGGGAUAUCACACGAAACUAAGGCCACUGCCGGCACAUGUGGAGCCUUCUGCCAUUAUAAAUGAACGUCAUGUUGCGACGCAGGACUCGAGGAUAAAGCCAGCUUGACAGCUGUUUCCGCAUUUUUAAUAUACUUUUUUCUUUUAUUCUCCCAGA